rnacentral:tRNA from 1 species
GACCUAUUAGCUUAGUUGGUUAAAGUGUUGUACUAAUAAUACGAAAGUCACUGGUUUAAGACCUGCAUGGGUCA